AACGAACGCUGGCGGCAUGCCUAACACAUGCAAGUCGAACGAGACCUUCGGGUCUAGUGGCGCACGGGUGCGUAACGCGUGGGAACCUGCCCUUAGGUUCGGAAUAACUCCCCGAAAGGGGUGCUAAUACCGGAUAAUGUCUUCGGACCAAAGAUUUAUCGCCUUUGGAUGGGCCCGCGUUGGAUUAGCUAGUUGGUAGGGUAAAAGCCUACCAAGGCGACGAUCCAUAGCUGGUCUGAGAGGAUGAUCAGCCACACUGGGACUGAGACACGGCCCAGACUCCUACGGGAGGCAGCAGUGGGGAAUAUUGGACAAUGGGGGAAAGCCUGAUCCAGCACUGCCGCGUGAGUGAUGAAGGCCUUAGGGUUGUAAAGCUCUUUUAACCGGGAUGAUAAUGACGGUACCGGGAGAAUAAGCUCCGGCUAACUCCGUG
rnacentral:rRNA from 1 species